rnacentral:rRNA from 1 species
GACGAACGCUGGCGGCGUGCUUAACACAUGCAAGUCGAACGGUAAGGCCCUUCGGGGUACACGAGUGUCGAACGGGUGAGUAACACGUGGGUGAUCUGCCCUGCACUUCGGGAUAAGCCUGGGACACUGGGUCUAAUACCGGAUAGGACCACUGCCUUCCUGGGUGGUUGUGGAAAGCUUUUGCGGUGUGGGAGGGGCCCGCGGCCUAUCAGCGUGGUGGUGGGGUGAUGGCCUACCAAGGCGACGACGGGUAGCCGGCCUGAGAGGGUGACCGGCCACACGGGGACUGAGAUACGGCCCAGACUCCUACGGGAGGCAGCAGUGGGGAAUAUUGCACAAUGGGCGCAAGCCUGAUGCAGCGACGCCGCGUGAGGGAUGACGGCCUUCGGGUUGUAAACCCCUUUCAGCACCGACGAAGCGCAAGUGACGGUAGGUGCAGAAGAAGGACCGGCCAACUACGUGCCAGCCGCCGCCGUAA